GGCCGCGUAGCUCAGUUGGCAGAGCAUUGGGCUAGUAUUCCAAAGGUCGUAGGUUCGAUUCCCACCUUGGCCA